UGAUAGUGAGGAUGUCGUUUCGAAUG
rnacentral:sRNA from 1 species